rnacentral:rRNA from 1 species
AGCUGUAAGUAAGCUUUGAUCCAGAGAUUUCCGAAUGGGGAAACCCAGCAUGAGUUAUGUCAUGUUAUCGAUAUGUGAAUACAUAGCAUAUCAGAAGGCACACCCGGAGAACUGAAACAUCUUAGUACCCGGAGGAAGAGAAAGAAAAUUCGAUUCCCUUAGUAGCGGCGAGCGAAACGGGAAGAGCCCAAACCAACAAGCUUGCUUGUUGGGGUUGUAGGACACUCUAUACGGAGUUACAAAGGACGACAUUAGACGAAUCAUCUGGAAAGAUGAAUCAAAGAAGGUAAUAAUCCUGUAGUCGAAAAUGUUGUCUCUCUUGAGUGGAUCCUGAGUACGACGGAGCACGUGAAAUUCCGUCGGAAUCUGGGAGGACCAUCUCCUAAGGCUAAAUACUCUCUAGUGACCGAUAGUGAACCAGUACCGUGAGGGAAAGGUGAAAAGCACCCCGGAAGGGGAGUGAAAUAGAACCUGAAACCGUGUGCUUACAAGUAGUCAGAGCCCGUUAAUGGGUGAUGGCGUGCCUUUUGUAGAAUGAACCGGCGAGUUACGAUUUGAUGCAAGGUUAAGCAGUAAAUGUGGAGCCGUAGCGAAAGCGAGUCUGAAUAGGGCGUUUAGUAUUUGGUCGUAGACCCGAAACCAGGUGAUCUACCCUUGGUCAGGUUGAAGUUCAGGUAACACUGAAUGGAGGACCGAACCGACUUACGUUGAAAAGUGAGCGGAUGAACUGAGGGUAGCGGAGAAAUUCCAAUCGAACCUGGAGAUAGCUGGUUCUCUCCGAAAUAGCUUUAGGGCUAGCCUCAAGUGAUGAUUAUUGGAGGUAGAGCACUGUUUGGACGAGGGGCCCCUCUCGGGUUACCGAAUUCAGACAAACUCCGAAUGCCAAUUAAUUUAACUUGGGAGUCAGAACAUGGGUGAUAAGGUCCGUGUUCGAAAGGGAAACAGCCCAGACCACCAGCUAAGGUCCCAAAAUAUAUGUUAAGUGGAAAAGGAUGUGGCGUUGCCCAGACAACUAGGAUGUUGGCUUAGAAGCAGCCAUCAUUUAAAGAGUGCGUAAUAGCUCACUAGUCGAGUGACACUGCGCCGAAAAUGUACCGGGGCUAAACAUAUUACCGAAGCUGUGGAUUGUCCUUUGGACAAUGGUAGGAGAGCGUUCUAAGGGCGUUGAAGCAUGAUCGUAAGGACAUGUGGAGCGCUUAGAAGUGAGAAUGCCGGUGUGAGUAGCGAAAGACGGGUGAGAAUCCCGUCCACCGAUUGACUAAGGUUUCCAGAGGAAGGCUCGUCCGCUCUGGGUUAGUCGGGUCCUAAGCUGAGGCCGACAGGCGUAGGCGAUGGAUAACAGGUUGAUAUUCCUGUACCACCUAUAAUCGUUUUAAUCGAUGGGGGGACGCAGUAGGAUAGGCGAAGCGUGCGAUUGGAUUGCACGUCUAAGCAGUAAGGCUGAGUAUUAGGCAAAUCCGGUACUCGUUAAGGCUGAGCUGUGAUGGGGAGAAGACAUUGUGUCUUCGAGUCGUUGAUUUCACACUGCCGAGAAAAGCCUCUAGAUAGAAAAUAGGUGCCCGUACCGCAAACCGACACAGGUAGUCAAGAUGAGAAUUCUAAGGUGAGCGAGCGAACUCUCGUUAAGGAACUCGGCAAAAUGACCCCGUAACUUCGGGAGAAGGGGUGCUCUUUAGGGUUAACGCCCAGAAGAGCCGCAGUGAAUAGGCCCAAGCGACUGUUUAUCAAAAACACAGGUCUCUGCUAAACCGUAAGGUGAUGUAUAGGGGCUGACGCCUGCCCGGUGCUGGAAGGUUAAGAGGAGUGGUUAGCUUCUGCGAAGCUACGAAUCGAAGCCCCAGUAAACGGCGGCCGUAACUAUAACGGUCCUAAGGUAGCGAAAUUCCUUGUCGGGUAAGUUCCGACCCGCACGAAAGGCGUAACGAUUUGGGCACUGUCUCAACGAGAGACUCGGUGAAAUCAUAGUACCUGUGAAGAUGCAGGUUACCCGCGACAGGACGGAAAGACCCCGUGGAGCUUUACUGUAGCCUGAUAUUGAAAUUCGGCACAGCUUGUACAGGAUAGGUAGGAGCCUUUGAAACGUGAGCGCUAGCUUACGUGGAGGCGCUGGUGGGAUACUACCCUAGCUGUGUUGGCUUUCUAACCCGCACCACUUAUCGUGGUGGGAGACAGUGUCAGGCGGGCAGUUUGACUGGGGCGGUCGCCUCCUAAAAGGUAACGGAGGCGCUCAAAGGUUCCCUCAGAAUGGUUGGAAAUCAUUCAUAGAGUGUAAAGGCAUAAGGGAGCUUGACUGCGAGACCUACAAGUCGAGCAGGGUCGAAAGACGGACUUAGUGAUCCGGUGGUUCCGCAUGGAAGGGCCAUCGCUCAACGGAUAAAAGCUACCCCGGGGAUAACAGGCUUAUCUCCCCCAAGAGUUCACAUCGACGGGGAGGUUUGGCACCUCGAUGUCGGCUCAUCGCAUCCUGGGGCUGUAGUCGGUCCCAAGGGUUGGGCUGUUCGCCCAUUAAAGCGGUACGCGAGCUGGGUUCAGAACGUCGUGAGACAGUUCGGUCCCUAUCCGUCGUGGGCGUAGGAAAUUUGAGAGGAGCUGUCCUUAGUACGAGAGGACCGGGAUGGACAUACCUCUGGUGUACCAGUUGUCGUGCCAACGGCAUAGCUGGGUAGCUAUGUGUGGACGGGAUAAGUGCUGAAAGCAUCUAAGCAUGAAGCCCCCCUCAAGAUGAGAUUUCCCAACUUCGGUUAUAAGAUCCCUCAAAGAUGAUGAGGUUAAUAGGUUCGAGGUGGAAGCAUGGUGACAUGUGGAGCUGACGAAUACUAAUCGAUCGAAGACUUAAUCAA